AACGAACGCUGGCGGCAGGCCUAAUACAUGCAAGUCGAGCGCUUGUAGCAAUACAGGAGCGGCGGACGGGUGAGUAACACGUGGGAACAUGCCUUUCGGUUCGGAAUAACGCAGGGAAACUUAGCGCUAAUACCGGAUGCGCCCUAACGGGGAAAGAUUUAUCGCGAAAGAUUGGCCGCGUCCGAUUAGCUUGUUGGCGGGGUAACGGGCCCGACCAACGGACGACGAUCGGUAGCUGGUUUGAGAGAACGAUCAGCCACACUGGGACUGAGACACGGCCCAGACUCCUACGGGAGG
rnacentral:rRNA from 1 species